GUUAAUGUAGCUUAAUNAAAGCAAAGCACUGAAAAUGCUUAGAUGGAUGUAAGCAUCCCAUAAACA
rnacentral:tRNA from 1 species